CAUGCAAGUCGAGCGAAGCUUUUUGGUAGUUUACUACUAGAAAUGACUGAGCGGCGAACGGGUGAGUAACGCGUGAGCAAUCUACCUUAGUUACUGGGAUAGCCCGAGGAAACUCGGAUUAAUACCAGAUAUUCUUAUUUUUUCACAUGAAGUUUUAAGGAAAGGUCAGCCGAACUAAGAUGAGCUCGCGUUCUAUCAGCUAGUUGGUGGGGUAAAAGCCUACCAAGGCUACGACGGAUAGCUGGUCUGAGAGGACGAUCAGCCACACUGGGACUGAGACACGGCCCAGACUCCUACGGGAGGCUGCAGCAGGGAAUAUUGUGCAAUGAGCGAAAGCUUGACACAGCGACACCGCGUGUGGGAUGACGGUUCUAGGAUUGUAAACCACUUUCAGGAGGGAAGAAAAUGACGGUACCUCCACAAGAAGACCCGGCCAACUAUGUGCCAGCAGCCGCGGUAAUACAUAGGGGUCAAGCGUUGUCCGGAUUUAUUGGGCGUAAAGAGCUCGUAGGCGGUUCAACAAGUCGGUCGUAAAAGUUUAGGGCUCAACCCUAAAAUGUCGAUCGAUACUGUUGUGACUAGGAUACGGUAGAGGUGAAUGGAAUUCCGAGUGUAGCGGUGAAAUGCGUAGAUAUUCGGAGGAACACCAAUUGCGAAGGCAGUUCACUGGACCGUGAUCGACG
rnacentral:rRNA from 1 species